rnacentral:lncRNA from 1 species
CUCAUCCUUAAAAAAAAAUUAUACGCAAAAUUUAAGAUUUAUUUAUAUAGAAAAUAUCGGGUUGUCACAAACACUCAAGCUAAUUCUCUCAAGCCCCAUACAUCCGAAAUAUUAGGCUAGAUCAGUUCCAUAUACCAGCCCCACGAACAACCAUAACAAAAACAGAAGCUAAAAUCAGAAAUUGAUCAAAGAAGGUAUAAAACCCUACUAAAAAAUCUGUCCAAUUUUCUGUUGUUAGGUGUUAUAUUUGAGUGUUAGAAUAUGUUGUUAGUAGUGUCCAAGGAUGAUCUGGGUUGCUAGAUGUUGAAUCCUUAACAUCUAGAGGCUCGGAUUUGUUAUUUUACAAAAUCUGGAAAAAGGUUUAACAGUCGUCUGACAAUGAAUGUCAGUGGCCAUAGAUCUCUGUAUGAAAUGUGAUUUUGUGUUUUACGUGUUUGAGCGUGUAGUAUGUAGAAAGAUCUGGGUUCUGGAACUCAUAGGAGAACCAGAUCAUGCACGAAGUGAUAGUUAUUCAUGGUCAAAGGUCGUUGACCGACCAUGACCGGACCAUUUCUGGGUAACCCAGAAAUGGGUUAUCAUUGUCUGACAAGUUAUUUGAGGCUCUAGAUCUAUCAGGUUUUUGGUGUUUUAAGUUAUUUGUUGUAUUCAUGUUGUAGUAUGUUAUGUACCCUUCUGAUAUAUGCUUAUAGUACAUCUAGA